rnacentral:tRNA from 1 species
GGUGGCUCAGUGAUAGAGCACUUGCCUUGCAUGCAUGAGUCCCUGGGUUCGAUACCCCAGAGCCA